rnacentral:lncRNA from 10 species
CUCUAGCAAGGGACAGGAAGACAGAAGAAUGAAUGCAACAGGACCGCUAAGAAGUAAAGACAGUCUUCAGCUAUGCAAGAAUAGCAGCUAGAAAUAGACAAACUGAAGAAGAGUUUAUGGAAGGAGGAGCUGUUUUGUCCAGAGAGCAGCCUGGUAGUUUUCCGUUUUCAAAUGCUUGGCUUUCAGGGCUCUGAUGUUUCCCUGCACAGUUGUGUCCAAUCAUGACAGAGACAAGGGAAACAGCCAAGGCUACAAUAUCAGCUCACCGGAGAAUCUGAGGGCAGCUCCUGUUCCCUGCUGUCCUUUG